GCCUGAAAGAUUAUGUUAAUAAAAUCAAUGGUUUUUUUUUUACUAAAAACACAGGUGCUGGGCAACAUCUUAUUUUUUCUAACAUAAUCCUUCUCCUGUACAUCAAUCUUAUUAAAAUAAGUUCUCAUCACUUGCUCCUCGAUUUUAUAUGUCGCCGUGUGACAUAUAAAAAAUCGAGGAGCAAGUGAUUAGAACUUAUUCUAAUAAGAUUGCCUGUACAUGGACUUAUGUUAAACGCAGUUUAUAUGUGCAUGCCUCUCAAUUCUUUUUCAGUAUGUGAAGUAUAAGGAUCACAUAAGACUAUAGCAUCCUAGCAUUGGCCUACUCCAAACCUAUUUUUAUGUAUAUUCUAACCUUAACCUUAAUCCAAACCUACUGCUAGCGCUUAUCCUCUCCUAACCUGAAUGAUAUAACUAUAUAAGAAUGAAGGUCUUUAUAAAAA
rnacentral:lncRNA from 1 species